rnacentral:rRNA from 1 species
GGGGAAUUUUCCGCAAUGGGCGAAAGCCUGACGGAGCAAUACCGCGUGAGGGAUGACGGCCUAUGGGUUGUAAACCUCUUUUUUCAGGGAGGAAUCAAUGACGUGUACCUGAAGAAUAAGCAUCGGCUAACUCCGUGCCAGCAGCCGCGGUAAGACGGAGGAUGCAAGUGUUAUCCGGAAUCACUGGGCGUAAAGCGUCUGUAGGUGGUUUGAUAAGUCAACUGUUAAAUCUUGAGGCUCAACCUCNAAACCGCAGUCGAAACUAUUUGACUAGAGUAUAGUAGGGGUAAAGGGAAUUUCCAGUGGAGCGGUGAAAUGCGUAGAGAUUGGAAAGAACACCGAUGGCGAAGGCACUUUACUGGGCUAUNACUAACACUGAGAGACGAAAGCUAGGGUAGCAAAUGGGAUUAGAUACCCCAGUAGUC